UUGAACGCUGGCGGAAUGCUUUACACAUGCAAGUCGGGCGGCAGCGCGGGGGCAACCCUGGCGGCGAGCGGCGAACGGGUGAGUAACAUAUCGGAACGUACCCGGACGUGGGGGACAACUAGUCGAAAGACUAGCUAAUACCGCAUACGUCCUGAGGGAGAAAGCGGGGGAUCGCAAGACCUCGCGCGUUUGGAGCGGCCGAUAUCUGAUUAGCUAGAUGGUGGGGUAAAGGCCCACCAUGGCGACGAUCAGUAGCUGGUCUGAGAGGAUGAUCAGCCACACUGGAACUGAGACACGGUCCAGACUCCUAAGGGAGGCAGCAGUGGGGAAUUUUGGACAAUGGGGGAAACCCUGAUCCAGCCAUUCCGCGUGAGUGAAGAAGGCCUUCGGGUUGUAAAGCUCUUUCGGCAGGAACGAAACGGCGGAAUCUAAUACAUUCCACUAAUGACGGUACCUGAAGAAGAAGCACCGGCUAACUACGU
rnacentral:rRNA from 1 species